GGCGGCAACGAUAAGGGAGAAAACGUGGCGGUCUUUCCUACACCGUUCAAGACGUCUGUGGCGACAACCAACGACCACCAGCGACACAGUAACGACCAAAUGAAACCAAGCUUAAUUACUUGGCAGUCGAAAGCUAGCUCGUACAAUGAAUAUUUUGAGAAAAAAACUCAGUAUACGAAUAAUCCUGCGAGCUGAUAACUUCAUGAAAUAAAGUACGAAGAAUAGAAGAAGUUCCAACUUGGACUGAAUGUUUGAGAAAGACUAGAGGAGACAACAGUACUGUUUCAAAUUUAUUACAAAUUCAUCAUCAUGAUUUGUGUCAAAUUCAUCAUCAUAACUCAG